ensembl:lincRNA
AGGUUGAGUGGCAGGGAAGGAGCUGUUCUAUCUGCAGAACCAAGGAAACCAAGACUGGUUGGGGACACAGGAUGAAAGAGGUUUUACAGAAAUACUGGAGGGGGAUUUGGAACUGGCAAUGUCCUAGAAGUAGUGAGAAAGGCAAGAUCAGCUAUCAGGAAAAAAGCCAGUUGGAAUUCUGGUUGUAGAAUGAGUCCCAACAAAUGGGAACUGCUGCCAUCAGAAGUGUGGGGAGAAGGACAGGGCUGAGACCCAUCUGGAGGAGGAAGCCCUUUGUCCUGGCACACAUGAGAUCCAGCAGGAUCUGGUGAAAUAGGAACCUUGCACAGUGUAGGCAAAGCAGUGUCUUGGGUGGACAGGUGGUCAUACUGUGCUGCUCUGGAACACGCUUCCUCACUGCAGUGUGGACGUGCCUGCUAGACAGCUGUGGGUUCCUGUGGGACACCUGACUCAGUCCUCUGUUCUGACCCUGGCUGUGCCUCUGGCCAGGCCAGAGCUGGACAGUGGAAAGCACGCCUCAGGCUUCCUCCCACAGGGCCCUGGCCUCCUGUCCUGGAGCACGUAGAGUCUUGCAGCUCUUCCUUGGCGGAUGAGGAAACGCCAAGGAGAAGGAGUGUAUUUGGGCGCUCGCCUGAGCGUCCUGUCCCUGCGUGGGUAUGGGAAGAAUGGGCAGUAACUCUGAGGGUGGCUGCUCUGGGGUGGAUGUUUGAUGUGUGUGGGCCCCACAGGAGGAAGGGGCUCUGAUCAUCGAGGGACUCCUCAACAUCGCCUGGGGACUCAGACGGCCCAUCCGACUCCAGAUGCAAGAUGACCGGGAGCGAGUGCACCUCCCCUCAGCUUCGUGGGCACCUGGACAGCCCAGCUGCCCACUAAAGGAACCACCUCCCCAGGACAGCAAAAUCACUGCUGAGGAACCAAGCACUCAGACUGUGCCCAAAGCUGAGAGUUCCAGAGAUGGCUCAGGGUCCCUGGAGGAAGAGGAGGAAGUACCACAGUUGAUGAGGACCAAGAGUGAUGCCAGCUGUAUGAUCCAGAGGAGGCCCAAGUGCCGUGCACCUGGCGAGGCCCAGCGGAUCCGCCGACACCGAUUCUCCAUCAAUGGGCACUUUUAUAAUCACAAGGUGAUAGUCCCCCCUGGUAUCUUCCAGUGCCCUGAAGCUGAGAGCACAGGAGCCAUGCCUAAGCACAGGCACUGCAGCCCUAUGAUCCUUGUCACACCCCCCCCCCAUCCUAAAGGCUCAGGAGGAAAAGAAUCUUGCCCAAAGACCCAUUGGCAUGACAACUCAUUCAUGAUCUGUGCUUUCUCUGCCACAUACUCACUGUCUUUCCAUUCUCCAAGUGGUGUGGAUUUUUGGCAAGCUCAAGGCAGACCGUAAUGCCAAUUUAUCUUUAGUGAGGCGAUGUUCUAUAAAGUUUCCCUCCAAGUUCAAUUGAUCAUUCCAUGGGAACAGCAUGUAUCCAGCCAUCACUCUCACUUGUUAAAUUAAGCCUGCUAGCGGAGGUGUGGCUAGGAGCAAGUGUGUUUGUUCCCAGAGAACCUGAACAACUCCUGAUUCCCAGCACCCGCCUUUUGUCCGAGUAUGUAUUGUACUGAACUUAGGAAAAGAUCACCUUCCCCAAAUUACAUCAUUCCACAAACAAACGGAACUGUAAAAGGAGAAGUUAAUUGUUACUAUAAAUGGAAUGAGUGGCAGUUUGGGUGAGGCCCUGGUUGGAGUGUCCUGUGAUAGGCCAUAUCCUGCUGCCCUGGGAAAUGAAAGCAAAGGUUUCCAGUUUGAGCAGCUGCCUUCCUUGAUAGAGCAUGACUCAUGGAGAUGGAGGAACCUGGGAGGUCCUAGGGUUCAGGCCUGAAGGAACAAGUAGGUCAGGUCUUCUAGACGUUAUUCAGGCUUGCCCUUGGGGCACCCUGGAUUUUGGGAUAAAGAUUUCAACUCUGCAAGCUGAAGGGAAAACUUCUUUAAUCUCAUUACCUCCCUUCCGUGCCUUGCUAAGUUUGCAGUCAGUGUUUACAAAUGACAGGGUUUUUUAUUUGUUAAGUCCAGAAAAAUUCAAUGUGAAAAUCAAGUCUCCUGAAAAAGCACAGGGAUAGCCAGGGUUGAAGUUCAAUGGAGAUUAAGAAUAUUAUAUAGACUAACAAUAAGACCAUAUUAUAAUUUGGGUAUCCUUUAAAUCUUGUUUCAAAAAAGGUUUAAUCUGUAAAGGGUUAAGCUCCAAUUGUUAGUAUUUGAAUAAACAUUGACA